rnacentral:rRNA from 1 species
UACGGAGGGUGCAAGCGUUGUCCGGAAUCACUGGGCGUAAAGGGCGCGUAGGCGGCUCAUGAAGGCUGUGGUGAAAGUCCGGGGCUCAACCUCGGAUCGGCCGUGGCGACUCGUGGGCUGGAGCACUGUAGAGGCGGGUGGAAUUCCGGGUGUAACGGUGGAAUGCGUAGAGAUCCGGAAGAACACCAGUGGCGAAGGCGGCCCGCUGGGCAGUGGCUGACGCUGAGGCGCGACAGCGUGGGGACGCAAA